rnacentral:rRNA from 1 species
UACAGAGGUCCCGAGCGUUGUUCGGAUUCACUGGGCGUAAAGGGUGCGUAGGUGGUGGGGUAAGUCGGAUGUGAAAUCUCGGAGCUCAACUCCGAAAUGGCAUUGGAAACUACCCUGCUGGAGGUUUGGAGGGGGGACUGGAAUACUUGGUGUAGCAGUGAAAUGCGUAGAUAUCAAGUGGAACACCAGUGGCGAAGGCGAGUCCCUGGACAAAACCUGACACUGAGGCACGAAAGCUAGGGGAGCAAACAGG